CUGCGUUACCGCGAUAAAGAAAAUAGUUCCUCAAGGAAGCUAAGCAGAAAAUUUUCACACUCUUGCCAACCACAAAAAUUGUUAAGAAAUACCAUUAUAUUACAAGAUUUGUUAAUAUAUAUGGCAAUUCAUAUCUAUGAACGCGUGGAUUUGUAUGCGCGUUUUUGUGUGAAUGCGCGCUUGCGCUGUUGACUCUUUGGCGGAUUCCGGAACUUUGUGCGUGCGGCGUAUGUGUGCGGGUUGCGUGAUGAGUUUGCUGCGUUUUCUGUGCCCUUUGCCUCGCUGUGACAUCUUUGGUAUAUUACAACUUAUUGCUCGGUCUUAAUGGGCUACACGUUGCCUCGAAGAUCACCAUGAUCGCCUCCGACUCAGCCACAUCGAAGAAUCAAAAUGAGCCUGGAGACGCCACAGCCGGAAUGCGAAAGGUUGGAGAAGUGCUUAUUCAGAUGAUCCUGGCACAGCUUGCCAUGGUGGACCAGGCAAGUUUGCAAGGGCCUUGAUUCACCAUGUGUUCACAGAGAACCUCAUGGGCCACUCCUCGGAAACAACACCACCAAUA